UGGGGAAUAUUGCGCAAUGGGCGGAAGCCUGACGCAGCGACGCCGCGUGGGGGAUGACGGCCUUCGGGUUGUAAACCUCUUUCGCCAGGGACGAAGCUUUGGUGACGGUACCUGGAGAAGAAGCACCGGCCAACUACGUGCCAGCAGCCGCGGUAACACGUAGGGUGCGAGCGUUGUCCGGAAUUAUUGGGCGUAAAGAGCUCGUAGGCGGUGUGUCGCGUCGGCCGUGAAAACCUGCAGCUUAACUGUGGGCGUGCGGUCGAUACGGGCAUCACUGGAGUUCGGCAGGGGAGACUGGAAUUCCUGGUGUAGCGGUGAAAUGCGCAGAUAUCAGGAGGAACACCGGUGGCGAAGGCGGGUCUCUGGGCCGAUACUGACGCUGAGGAGCGAAAGCGUGGGG
rnacentral:rRNA from 1 species